AUACGGAGGGGGUUAGCGUUGUUCGGAAUUACUGGGCGUAAAGCGUACGUAGGCGGACUGAUCAGUUGGGGGUGAAAUCCCAGGGCUUAACCCUGGAACUGCCUUCAAUACUGUCAGUCUUGAGUUUGGGAGAGGUGAGUGGAAUUCCUAGUGUAGAGGUGAAAUUCAUAGAUAUUAGGAGGAACACCAGUGGCGAAGGCGGCUCACUGGCCCAUUACUGACGCUGAGGUACGAAAGCGUGGGGAGCAAACAGGAUUAGAAACCCUAGUAGUCC
rnacentral:rRNA from 1 species